GCGAGCGUAGUAUAGUGGUAAUACAUAUCCUUGCCAAGGAUAAGCCGCGAGUUCGAUUCUCGUCGCUCGCUCC
rnacentral:tRNA from 1 species